GCCUUGGUGGUGAAAUGGUAUACAUGUGAGAUUAAAAAUCUCAUGUUAAUGAGACUGGAGGUUCGAGUCCUCUUCAAGGCA